rnacentral:rRNA from 1 species
GACGAACGCUGGCGGCGUGCUUAACACAUGCAAGUCGAACGGAAAGGCCCUGCUUUUGUGGGGUGCUCGAGUGGCGAACGGGUGAGUAACACGUGAGUAACCUGCCCUUGACUUUGGGAUAACUUCAGGAAACUGGGGCUAAUACCGGAUAGGAGCUCCUGCUGCAUGGUGGGGGUUGGAAAGUUUCGGCGGUUGGGGAUGGACUCGCGGCUUAUCAGCUUGUUGGUGGGGUAGUGGCUUAACAAGGCUUUGACGGGUAGCCGGCCUGAGAGGGUGACCGGCCAGAUUGGGACUGAGAUACGGCCCAGACUCCUACGGGAGGCAGCAGUGGGGAAUAUUGCACUAUGGGCGGAAGCCUGAUGCAGCAACGCCGCGUGCGGGAUGACGGCCUUCGGGUUGUAAACCGCUUUCGCCUGUGACGAAGCGUGAGUGACGGUAAUGGGUAAAGAAGCACCGGCUAACUACGUG